rnacentral:tRNA from 2 species
GCGGGGUAGCUCAGCUGGUUAGAGCAGAGGAAUCAUAAUCCUUGUGUCGGGGGUUCAAAUCCCUCCCUCGC